UACGAAGGGGGCUAGCGUUGUUCGGAAUCAUUGGGCGUAAAGCGCGUGUAGGCGGCUGACUAAGUCCGCUCUGAAAGCCCGGGGCUCAACCCCGGGAGGCGGGUGGAUACUGGUCAGCUCGAGUCCGGAAGAGGAGUGUGGAAUUCCUGGUGUAGCGGUGAAAUGCGCAGAUAUCAGGAGGAACACCCGUGGCUAAGGCGGCUCUCUAGUACGGUACUGACGCUGAGACGCGAAAGCGUGGGGAGCGAACAGG
rnacentral:rRNA from 1 species